AAAAGUACAGUUUGAAAAGUGUCCUGUCGGAGGUUUUAGUGCGCCAGAGAAGUUGUAGGAAAACGGCCUGUGCUUUCAGAGCAGCCCGUAAAAGCUGAAUUAUACGAUUUAUUAAGAUAUCGAAGACUUUGGAUUUAUAUUCGGAUAACCCGCAGAGGGGGAGGAAGUGACGCGCAAAACGAUAUUUGUGCGUGAUAUAACGGUGUCCGGGAGCAGCUCGGUGCCAUGUCUUCAAACGUCCAGAGCGGGGGGAAACGGGAGGAGAAGGGCAGGAACAUCCAGGUGGUGGUCAGAUGCAGGCCUUUCAACACGAUGGAGCGCAAGUCGUCCUACGGUGUCGUCGACUGCGAUCAAAACCGGAAAGAGGUGAUGGUGAGGACGGGAGGCAUGAACGACAAGGCGUCACGGAAGACCUACACGUUCGACAUGGU